UGAGAUGGCACCCAGGGA
rnacentral:misc_RNA from 1 species